CAAUGUUAAAAAGUCACCUAAAAAAUGUGCACUAAGAAUAAGAGCAACGGCCGAACUAUACACACAUUUCUGCUCCACUGUUCUUGGUGGGAGAAACGUGCGUAUAUACGACAGGAGGCGCGGUGUAGAAACUAGUGAUGGAUACAGCGUCGUAGAGCAGGAGACGUUGCGAUGCCAGAUAUUAUUGAGGUUAUGACUGUUUAGUAAAUUAAUGAUUGAGGAAUGACCGAGUCCUUGUUAUGUUCCAAAAUGAUGAAGAAUAUCGAUAAGACUU